rnacentral:rRNA from 1 species
AUUGAACGCUGGCGGCAGGCUUAACACAUGCAAGUCGAGCCAGCGGCGGACGGGUGAGUCAUGUCUGGGAAACGGUCUGAUGGGAGGGGAGAACUCCUGGAAACGGUGGCUAAUACCGCAUAACAUCAGCAGUGCCCAGAUGGGAUUAGCUAGUCGUUGGGGUAAUGGCUCACCUAGGCGACGAUCCCUAGCGGGUCUGAGAGGAUGACCAGCCACACUGGAACUGAAGCACGGUCCGGACUCCUACGUGAGGGAGCAGUGGGGAAGAUUGCACAAUGGGCGCCAGCCUGCUGCAGCCAUGCCGCUUGUGUGCAGAAGGCCUUCGGGUUGUAAAGCACUUUCAGCGAGGUGGCGUUACGCGCAGAGGAAGCACCGGCUAGCUCCGUGCCAGCAGCCGCGGUAAUUC